rnacentral:sRNA from 1 species
AGCUAAUAAGUGAGCAGCUCCUUCCUCAGCUCUCUUCCUUUUCUACCAGAGGGGGAGAAAUGUCUUGGCUGCCCAGACCACCCAGUGAAUGGAGGAGAAGGGGGAGGGGAUGCUUCCAGCCCCCUCCCCUGACAUCACCCUUCCCUCCUGCAGCCUGGCCCAGUCACUAUGGGCCCUGUUCACCUCCUCUCUGGCCAUCUCCCUGGUGUUUGCCGUCAUCCCCUUCUGCCGCGACGUGAAGGUGCUGGCCUUAGUCAUGGCGCUGGCGGGCUUGGCCAUGGGCUGCAUCGACACCGUGGCCAACAUGCAGCUGGUGAGGAUGUACCAGAAGGACUCGGCCGUCUUCCUCCAGGGUGCUGGGCCAGCACCAUGUAGAUGCCAAGCCUUGG